rnacentral:rRNA from 1 species
UACGUAGGGGGCAAGCGUUGUCCGGAUUUAUUGGGCGUAAAGAGCGUGUAGGCGGCCAGACAGGUCCGUUGUGAAAACUCGAGGCUCAACCUCGAGAUGUCGAUGGAAACCGUCUGGCUAGAGUCCGGAAGAGGAGUGUGGAAUUCCUGGUGUAGGCGGUGAAAUGCGCAGAUAUCAGGAAGAACACCUAUGGCGAAGGCAGCACUCUGGGACGGUACUGACGCUGAGACGCGAAAGCGUGGGGAGCGAAGCAGG